AGCUUCAAUUCUGGAUGAGGACAAGACCCCUUUGCUUCUUGAGAUUUUUUUUUUUUUAGUAUUUCUUGUUUAGAAGAUAGUUUGAAAGUAUCUUACUUCUUAGACAGUAGUUUUCAUAAUGGAAAGUGACUCAGAAUGAAGACGUCUCUGUUCAAACCCUCUUUUUUUUUUUUUUUUUUUUUUUAAGUCUUACCCAAAAGGAAGUGAGUAUGAAGCAAAUUGCAUAAACUUAAAGUACUGCAGAGAUGAAACCCAAAGCAGGAAGAGACAUGCCACCCAUGUCCUGGACAGGAACACACCGUGUCAUGUGAAGAGACAUGACAAAAACAGCUCUCUUUAAAUUACUUUUGGCAAUAGUGAUCGCGUUCAUUUUACUUUUGCCCGAAUAUUUUAAGACACCGAAAGGAAAUGUAUUGGAGCUCUCAUGUCUGGAAGUAUGUUUACAACCUAGUUUCAACUAUUCACUCCGCUCUUUGAAUUUUUCUUUUAUGACUUUUCUGAAACCAGUAAGAGAAACUCAGACUAUUAUGGGACUCUUUCUAAAUCAUUCCAACUUUCAAAACUUCACCAGGAUUUGCCAAGGCUUCACAAGUGAAUUUAAAAUGUGCUCAUGUUUGGCUUGUGAGUCCAAAAAAAGCAUGGAUUUUAUUUUUCAGGAACAAACAUCAAAAGUUCUUAUCAUGAAAGGAUCAACAGAAGUGAAGGCAAACGAUGUUCGUUCACCUUGUCGACAUUUUAACUUCUCUGUAGCUCCUACAGUCGAUCCCUUGGAUGAGUAUAACAUGACUUGUAAUCUAAAGACCCGUGUGAGAAGGCCAGCAAUCAUUGAGCAAGAUCCGCUCAGGGAAAAGUCUAUGAACCAUACUUGUAGGACUAUGGAAUUCCUGAAUAAUUGUACACGCAUUUCUCUGCACCUAGAAAUGGAUGUCAAAAAUUUCACUUGUUCCAUGAAGAUCACUUGGUAUGUUUUAGUUGUAGUUGUUUUCAUAUUUUUUCUCAUCCUCACUCUCCACAAAAUACUUGAAAGCCAGAGAACAAUGUGGAAAUGGCAGAGUCAUAAAUACAAACCUACUUCUGAUCUCCUAAGAGGACAGGAUUCCGAGAAACUGCGGACCUUGAACGUGCGGGUUAUUUCAGAUUUGACUUUCCAAUUCCAUUACCAAGUAGAGCUGAGCAAGUAGUUUGGGAAAUACAAAUAUAAAAAAUUGAUGGGGCAAAUUCUCCAAGCAACCAAGAGAUCCUGGCCAGGAUGAGGAGGUUUUAGAUGUAUCUUCCCUGUGGGAGAUGCCUCUUGUCUUUGACAUGAAAAUCAUCGGGAACAAAGGGAAGAAAACACCUUCAAGUUUCCGUGACUCCGUGGGAAUCAAGAAUUACUUUGGAAGGAUGAAUUGAGAGACCAAGCAGAGGCUGCCCUUGACUCAGGUCAAGAAAGGACUUCCUCCAAUACCGGAACUAGAAGUUUCUUCCACGGUGCAGCCGCAAGAUCGGUAUACACGAAUAUCCUUCUGAAUUUUUCCGGACCACUUGGACUGAACCCUUUUGAAGAAUACUCAUAAUUUCAUUUUGGGAAUAAGUGAACUAGUAAAUAUAUGGGUCCAGCUGAGGAUUCACAGUAGGAAACAGUAGCAAUGCUGACUGGUUGAUGGAAAUUGGCUUGAGAGCAGUCAUUUGACCCAAGAGAUCAAAGAAACAAGAAUUUUUCCAGGAAGCCAUCAUGAGUCAUGGAAAACAAGCUGAUAAAACCCAUGGAAACAGCACGGGCAUGCUCACUGUCCUUGCUUAUCUGUUAAUUAUACAGCUGACAGUGACCCCCAAAUUUUGAUUUUGAAAGGAACCAAACCCAGGAUCAAGGAUGAAAAUCUUUUCUCUCAUUUGUCCACAUUGCACAUUCUGCCUUGGUGGGUUUUCGUAUACAGAUGGAUUGUUUCUUUUUGGCAAAUUACUUAAGAGGGCCUGGGUUGUUCAUUGAUACAUUUGUUCGGAUUUAUAAAUUCUGCUUCCUUUUGGCACUGAGGAUGUUUUUAAAAACUUCAAAGAUACCAAAAUAAAAUGAAUUUAAAUGAAA